CACAUGCAAGUCGAACGAAGCCUUCGGGCUUAGUGGCGCACGGGUGAGUAACACGUGGGAAUAUACCUCUCAGUGGGGGAUAACGUCGGGAAACUGACGCUAAUACCGCAUACGCCCUUCGGGGGAAAGAUUUAUCGCUGAGAGAUUAGCCCGCGUCCGAUUAGCUAGUUGGUAAGGUAAUGGCUUACCAAGGCUACGAUCGGUAGCUGGUCUGAGAGGAUGAUCAGCCACACUGGGACUGAGACACGGCCCAGACUCCUACGGGAGGCAGCAGUGGGGAAUAUUGGACAAUGGGGGCAACCCUGAUCCAGCCAUGCCGCGUGAGUGAUGAAGGCCUUAGGGUUGUAAAGCUCUUUCGACGGGGACGAUGAUGACGGUACCCGUAGAAGAAGCCCCGGCUAACUUCGUGCCAGCAGCCGCGGUAAUACGAAGGGGGCUAGCGUUGUUCGGAAUUACUGGGCGUAAAGCGCACGCAGGCGGUGAUCAUAGUCAGAAGUGAAAGCCCUGGGCUCAACCCGGGAAUUGCUCUUGAUACUGGGUCACUAGAAUCACGGAGAGG
rnacentral:rRNA from 1 species